rnacentral:rRNA from 1 species
GACGAACCGAGCGAACGUUAUUCGGAAUCACUGGGCUUAAAGGGCGCGUAGGCGGGCCGUCAAGUCAGGGGUGAAAGCCCCCAGCUCAACUGGGGAAGUGCCUCUGAUACUGACGGCCUCGAGGGAGAUAGGGGCGUGCGGAACUUCCGGUGGAGCGGUGAAAUGCGUAGAUAUCGGAAGGAACACCGGUGGCGAAAGCGGCGCGCUGGAUCUCUUCUGACGCUGAGGCGCGAAAGCCAGGGGAGCGAACGGG